UGUAAAACUUUUUUCUUUUAUGUUAGUAGUUGUUACGUUGUGUCCAUGCUCUGUUUAAAAUGGGAAUGAACCACGUCUUGUUUAAACAAAUCUCCAAUGUAUGUAGAUGUUGUCUCACCUCUGUCUUUCAUUCUCAUACAUGUUUGUAAUUUUUAUGUUGUGAAAUAUGCCCUUGAUCAUUUUUAACUUAAAAACUUUGUAUCAUCAGAGAAGUCUGUCUUCAGAUGUCAUCUGGACCUGGACAGAAUCUGUUCUGUAAUGAUGUUAAGGUGAGAUGUUCUGAUGGGACACUUGUGGUUCUUUAGAGCUACAAGAUGUUUAUUUCCAACCAUUCCUGCUUUAAAUGUUUAUAAUCAACACUGUGAGUAAGGCUGUUUUUAUUUACCUCAAUUUAAUUGUUAUAAUAAUGACACAUUAAUUUUCUUCCCCCUUCUUGAAUUUUCUCUUAAACACCACAGGGAUUGUCUGAACAAGGACUGUCCAGCAACUGUUUUAACAUUUGUAGUCAUGGUAACAUCCGCCUCCACCCACCAUAUUGUUGUAUUUAUAGAUGUAAUAAUCCCAUUUUUCUCAACAGUGUACACUGUACUUUGUGAUGGGAGCAUCAUGUGAUUUCAGUGAGGUAAGGAAACAGAUGAGAGUUUAUACUUUCUGUUGGAGAUUUCAUUAAAUGUGAACCUGUGAAAUCCACAGGGUGAUAUGAUGACAAUAUGAAGAUGAUAGUGUCUCUCUCUCUCUUGAGAAACUUCCCUGUGAGGUCCAGAGAAGAACAACAAAAGGAGAGAAAGCAGAAAAAAGUUGAUGAAGGCAAAAUGUGAGACUGUGUGCUGAUGGCCACACUGAUCCCAAAGCAGCCGAGGCUCAAAUUGAGAUAAAUUUUUAAAUUUACACAUAACUAGUAAUGUUGAUUUUUGUAUCUUUAUGUGCA